rnacentral:rRNA from 1 species
CCUACGGGUGGCAGCAGUAGGGAAUUUUUCACAAUGGGCGAAAGCCUGAUGGAGCAACGCCGCGUGCAGGAUGAAGGCCUUCGGGUUGUAAACUGCUUUUAUAAGCGAGAAAUAUGAUGGUAACUUAUGAAUAAGGAUCGGCUAACUACGUGCCAGCAGCCGCGGUCAUACGUAGGAUCCGAGCAUUAUCCGGAGUGACUGGGUGUAAAGAGUUGCGUAGGUGGCAUAAUAAGUAGCUAGUGAAAUCUGGUGGCUCAACCAUUCAGACUAUUAGCUAAACUGUUAAGCUCGAGACCGUUAGGGGUAACUGGAAUUUCUAGUGUAGGAGUGAAAUCCAUAGAUAUUAGAAGGAACACCAAUAGCGUAGGCAGGUUGCUGGGACGGUUCUGACACUAAGGCACGAAAGCGUAGGGAGCAAACGGGAUUAGAUACCCGUGUAGUC